GUCAAUCUGCUCAAUGAAUUUAUUUAAAUAGCUGCAGUAUAUUGACUAUACAAAUGUAGCAUAAUCAAUUGCCUCUUAGUUGAAGAAUGGAAUGAAAGAAUUUAUGAAAUAUAUACUGUUUCUAAUACAUCAARUGAAAUUAAAUGUUUAGUUGAAAUGCUAAAAUUGAAUUACGGGACAAUAAGACUCCUCAGAAUUUCAUAUAAUUAAUGUUUUUGUUUAAAUUUAUUUAUUCUAACAAUAUUAAUUAUGUUUAUUUGGGAGGAUUAAUGAGUUUAAUUGACUUCUCUUAAAAAUAAAUCGUCGAUGUACGAAAAACUAAUUCUUUAUAAUAGAAUUAAUAAAAAAAAUAAGUUACCGUAGGAAUAACAGCCUAAUAUCUUUUCGAAGUUCAUAUUAAUAAAGAUGUUUGCGACCUCGUUGUCGAAUUAAGAUAAAUUUUAAAUGGAGGAAUUUAAAACUUAAGUCUAUUAGACUUUUAAAAUCUUGCAUGGAUUGAGUUC
rnacentral:rRNA from 1 species